AGUUUUAUAGUCAAUAAAUGAUAUUAAAUUGCAAAUUUAAAGUAAUAAUUAUUUAUUAAAGCUU
rnacentral:tRNA from 1 species